rnacentral:lncRNA from 1 species
AGUUUACUGCAAACCUGACCACUAACUUUUCUUGGUGCACUUUAUAGGGAUACAUCUGCAUUCACUUGAACAGAGUGGAUUUCAUUGUAGGACAGAUUCAGGAAUCACGCCCAAGACAAGAAAUGCACUACACAGUAAAACAUUGGGCUAGAUCUGUUUUGGAGUAAAUGAGAAUGCAGGGGCACUGACAAAAGAAAUCCAUCAAAAGAAUCACUGCAAAAAAUGUCUGCAUCUUCUCCUCCUCUGGAUGUGAGUGAACUACAACAUUCAGCUUUACACAUGUGCACCUCCAUCCCAGCUGGGUACCUUUGUCGAAAUAUGAGUGGCGUGGCAUCAAAGAUCAGAUCAGCUGAAAUCUUCUGCGGAAUGAAGUCUUCUCUCACGUUUGGAUCAUGUAUAUGUUUAGUGACCCCGCAGCUGCUGUAAGGGCCCAACUGAACUUGGGACAGACAUUCAAAGGUAUCUAACACCUCCUGACAUCAGUGGCUGGGCUAUCCAGUGUUCACUGUUG